UGGAGACUGAGCGCUCCAGCGGUCCGGGGCGCCAGCCCUGCAGCCGAGGCGGGGCAGCUUCCGCCAUAGGCACAGUCAUUGGAUGAUCUUGAUGUUAGUUAUCUUCACUGACGCUCCUAUAGGGUAAAAACUCGGAGCUCAUCAGCUAUUAGUCAAAACUGGUGCCAAUCUGAAGAUACCUUUUUUUAAUUGAAGGAACCGCCCUCUAAGCCUCGAAACCUAAUUGGGCCAUAGGAACGUCAGUAGGAGUGGGUUUUUGGCGGAACUACGUUAAAUAAAGGGGCGGGGUUCCGUUGAACCUAUGCACUAGGCGGUCUUUGACUGUCCUUGGACUUUGAGUUGGGUGACAGCCGCAGAUAUGGAGUCCUGGCGUCCCGAAAGGCAGGAGCUUUCUGUGGCUCAACAUGGCGGAGUCAUGAAGUUUCCUCCACAGUAGUGAGGGUGGAAGCUUCCGGGCGGCCCAGCAGAGGUCAGAAGAGAACACUGAAAUCCUCAGAGACUGAAGUUACAGACAGUGUCCUCCAAAUAAAUACAUGUACUUAUAAAAGCGAGAGGGUAAUAAAUUCAAGGUCAUCCUGGCUACAUGAGACCCCCAUCUAAAACAAACAAGGUAUGUGCGGCACACCACUACUCAGGUAGGCCAACAUGGUCUCUCUCUAUAUAGGGAACUCCAGGCCACCCAAGGCUUCAAAGUAAAACUUUGUCUCAAAAUGAGUAAAUUAACUUAUAUAUAAUAUAGUAUACUAUCAGUAUAAUAUAAUGUUAUUUCAAGUUAUGUAAAUAUUUUAAAUCCAUUUGAGUUUAACAAGUAUGAAUUCAUUCUAUGUGGAAAAUAAGUCGAAAGGUCUGUAACUAAGCAUAGGACAUUGAAUGUUUGUAGUUCUGGGCUUCACACAUAUUAGACAAGCACUCUAAACUGAGCUGUUUCUCUAGCCUCAUACACUUUUGGAGACAGUUUGUGGCACCCAAGCUGACCUGAAAUGUAAGAUUCCCCCACCUCUGUCUGCUAUCACUAGUGCUGUAAUAACAAGAAUGUGCAAGGGCACCCUGAGGAAAAAGUGAUGAGUCUGUGCUUUGCUACAGGGUAACCCUUUAUGUUUUGAAUAUGUAUGGGUGCUUUGAGUGUUUUGGCCUAGGAAGCCAAAAGAUGGUAUCAAAUCUUCUGGAAUGAGUUACGGAUGGUUGUGAACCACCUGACAUAGAUGUUCGGAAUAGAACCCUAGGAGAGCACUGUUUAACUCCUGAACUACCUCUCCAGGCCUCCACCUCCCUCACUUUGAGGCAAGGUAUCUGUGGUGGUUUGAGUGAGAAUGGCCACACAGGCUUAUACAUUUGAAUGCUUAGUUCUGGGGAGUGGAAGUGUUUGAAGAAUUAGGAAGCAUGGUCCUGUUAAAAGUAGGGGUGGGAUUGUUGGAAGUUUCACUAGGGGUGGAUUCUAAGGCUCUCAGCUACUUCUCCAGCACCAUACCUGUCUGCUUCCCAUCAUUACAGUAGCCUAACAUUCUGAAACUAUAAGCAAGCUCCCAAGUAAAUGCUUUCUUUUGUAAGAGUUGCCUUAAGUUAUGGUUCUCUUCACAGGGACACAACCAUGACGAAGGCAGCCUCACUGUGUAGCCCUGCUGGUCUCUAACUUACUGUUACGUAAACAAGGCUGGCCAGAAACUCCGAUCUUCCCACUUCCCUCUCAAUUUAAAGAUGUGUGCAACCAUUCCCACUGCAAAAAUCUUUUUCUCUUUAGAGACAGGGUCUCACUGUGUAAUUUGCUAUGUAGACCAAGCUGGUUUUAAAUUCACAAGUUUCAGCAUGCCUCUGCCUCCCAAGCUUUUUUUUUUUUAAAUUUUUAUUUCAUGUGCAUGUUUUACCUACACGUAUCUUUGUGUCAGAUCCCCUAGAACUUUUUAUUUUUCCUUUUUUUCGGAGCUGGGGAUCGAACCCAGGGACUUGCGCCUGCUAGGCAAGCGCUCUACCGCUGAGCUAAAUCCCCAACCCCGAUCCCCUAGAACUUAAGAGUUGUGAGCAGUACUAGGAUUGAAUUCAGGUCCUCUGGAAGAACAGCUAGUGCUCUAAACUGCAAACCCACCACUCCAACCCUAAGCAAGCUUUUUAAGUAAGACUACUGUCAUGCAUUUGUCUUUCUGUAUCUAGAGCUGAAGUUUCUAUGGCUCAGCUAGAAUACAUAAGGAAAACAGGAACAGGACCAGGGCAAAACCUUGGUCUUACUUAACUAAGCAUCAACAAACAAGCAAUUUCUCUAUUAGCUUAUUUAUAAAAGGGCCAGUAAUGGGAUAAUCUCAUUGGGCUGUUCUAUCAACACUAUCUGGUUUAUAGCCCAUACAUAUUAGCGAUUUUUAGUAAUUUAUUUUGCUUUUUUUUUUUCCAGAGCUGGGGACCGAACCAAGGGCCUUGCGCUUGCUAGGCAAGCGCUCUACCACUGAGCUAAAUCCCCAACCCCUUAUUUUGCUUUUUAAAUUGAUUUAAAAUAUGCAUAUGGCUGUUUGGUUGACUGCAAUGUAUUCUGUCCUCUCGUAAGUCAAAAGAGGGUCAGGUCCUCUGGGACUCUUAACUGCUGAGCCAUCUGGGGUAGGUACUUUUAUUUUAGGGGAUGGAAGGAUGGCUCAGUGGUUGAGAGCUGACUGGCUGCUUGUGCAGAAGCCCAGGGUUUGGUUUCCAGUGCCAAUAGGGAGACUUACAACUCUAACUUCAGUACCAAGGGACAGAACAGUCUCACAACCUCUGAAACCAGGCAUGUAUGUGGUGUAUAUACAUGCAAGUAAACACUCACACACAGGGAAUAAGACUUCUUAAAGUAUUUAUUUCUACGCAUGUGUUUUGUGUGUUGUGUACCACACACAUGGCUAGUGUCCACAGGCUAGACAGAUCUGACCCCUGGAACCAAGUUACAGACGGUACACAUACAUACACCAGGGACAUAUGCAUUUUUAAAAAGUCCCAUCACGCUCACAUUCGUUACCUUCUAAUUUUGUUAACGUUUUCCUGCAACCUCUUGACCUCCCCCGCCCACCCAAUCCUAGGUAAUUGAACCUAGGGCCAGAUAAGCAUUUACCACUUAGCUGUAUCCCUGGCUCACUUCUUUAGUGAAAGCAGACCUGUUUAUACUAAAAUAACCGAUUAGCUUUGGCUGAGACAGCAUUAAUUGGCUUUCUGAACUGACUUUUUAAACUUUUGGCACCAGAUUUGUCCAAGUGAUACUUUCUGUGAAAUUCCAAGUUUCUAGUCAGAUGUACUUGGCAUCCAAUUUGUAAUCAAGUGACAGUGUCCCGAAGCUCCUAACUAGAAACAUCACCAAUUUUAUGAUGAAAAUACUGAACCAACUCAUCUUACAGUAUUAAUAUCCACACUGAUCAUGGUCCAUUAUAGUUUGCAUUACUCACGAGGGACACAUUCCAGGACCCCUAGCAGAUGUCUACAACUUUGUAAAAUGCUAACCCAUAUUUUCCCUUUUUGCUUAGGAGGCAGAGGCAUGCUGAACCCUGUAAUGUUAUGGUAAAGCUUAACCUACAUAUCAGGCACUAACACAAUUAUUUUUUCAGGGUUCAUGAUUAAACCCGAGUGAAAUGCUGUGCCACAAGCCUAUACAAUUUUUUUUCUUUUUCUUUUUCUUUUUUUUCUUUUUUUUCGGAGCUGGGGACCGAACUCAGGGCCGUGCGCAUGCUAGGCAAGCGCUCUACCACUGAGCUAAAUCCCCAACCCCUACAAUUUUGUUAUAUAGACUUUCUAUCACCAUACUCAUCCUUACAAGAUAGACUGCUUACAAGGUUAGCUGGGCUAAAUGACAGUUAUGGCUUAGUGCUGGGGUACUACUAAGGUUGGGACCUAUAUUUAUUGAACCUAUUUCCACAGCUUGGAAACCCAAAGUCUUAAUUAUCUUUCUCAUUUUAUUGCAUUGGUAUGUGAGGGAGUCAGAUCACUUAGAACAGGAGUUAAAGUUGUGAGCUGCCAUGCGGGUGCUAGGAAUUGAAUCAGGGACCUCUGGAUCGAUGAGCCAUUCAUUUCUCCAGCCCUGAAACACAAUUUUUACUUAGGACAGAACUUGAGGUUAAAACAGAGAAAUAGGGUUCUUGCUGACUACAUGAGAGAACCAAGAAUCUACCUCAACACUUCAGUUCAUGAAGAACUGAGCAUACCGAUGCAAUAAUUCUUUUUUUUUUUUUUUUGGUUCUUUUUUUCGGAGCUGGGGACCGAACCCAGGGCCUUGGGCUUCCUAGGUAAGCGCUCUACCACUGAGCUAAAUCCCCAGCCCUCCGAUGCAAUAAUUCUUAAUCUAGCACUCAGGGUGGAAGCAGGGUUGCUAAAGAUCAGCUUAAGCUCCCUAGCAGGAACCAGUUUAAAAAACAAACAAACCAACCAACCAACCAAAAAAAAACAGGCAACUGGAAAGGUAGCUUAGCAGUUCAGAGCAUUGCCUGCACCUCUCAAUUACCAGUGCUCUCAGGGGAACAUUCACACAUGUAGAGAAAACAUGUACACACAAAGUCAAGAAAAAAACAAAACAAAACAAAAUCACUUCUCGGCCUUUUGGCUAAUAAGAUCAAGUGUAAAAAAACCAAAACAACAAAAAAACAAAACAAAACAAAACCAGCAAAAAACCCCAAACCCACUCUCAAAAACAAAACAAAACAAAAAAAACCAGUAACAAAACCACCAACCAAACUUCCCUUGAAUUCUCCCCUUAAACUGAGUUUGUUGUGUUUGUUACCACUAUUAGUUUAAAGCAUAGAAACAUACUCUUUAAGUCAGUGAAUGGAUCAAAACCCCUUUGGGGUUUCCUAAGACUAUCAGAAUAGACAUUUACAUUAUGAUUCCCAACAGCAGUGAAAAUAAUUUUUGUGGUUGGGGUCACCAUGGCAUGAGGAACUAACAGCAUUAGGAAGGUUGAGAACCACUGCCAUCUGAAUGAAUCCAAAAGUAAAUAAGUAUCUGACCCCUGAGCCCUGUGAAAAGGUUGUCCAAUCUGUACGUUGUUUUCUGAUUCAAAUUCUGCGCUAUGUACACAUGGAAAUUACUAAGCUUUUUAUUUUUGACACUUCAGGCUGGACAGAUUUCAGAAGCCAUCAAAGAGCGACACUGCUAAAAUGCAGGAGUGAAAAAUGUACAGGAGGACAACACAUUCAGUUUUAUUUCAAUCGAGUCACAGUACUUGUCCAGCUGCCUGCAAAGUGCACCCACAGCCUCCCAUUACAGUCGCACUGUACAGGGUUCCUGGGACAGUACAGCAAGCCUCUGCUCAAAUAGGACCAGCCCCAAAUUUCCCUCAAAAAACAAACUCCAUUCCAGUAAAGGGUAAAUACAUGAAAUUAGAGCAAACGGACACUUAAAAGGACAGCCAAGAAAUCUUCCAACAGUUUAUUAGAAAGAAUGUAGACAUUUAAAAAAAUCCCCACUGUCAUGAACAUAAAUUGAGGUUUUCCAGCCAGGGCAUAAGCUGAAAUCAAAACAGGAAAUAAAAAAUCCAAUAGUGUAUUAACAUUUUCCACUCAUUUGCCAUACUGACAGUGCAAGUACAAAUCUGGUCUAAAAUGUACAUAUUCUCAAGCAACAAUGUACAGCUUUCUUUGUCCUCCAUGCUAAGAGAUGUAAAAGCUUAAGGGCCAAACAAUACCAAAGGUAUAGGCUUCAAAAACCAUCUAAGUUAGGGCAUCCACUAGUCUUAGCUAAAAUACACCUGAACACUGACAAGUGAUCACAAACAAUGAUGUAAAGUACAUUUUUUUGAAAAAUAAACUUUAGUGGAAUAAUUCUGAAAGGUAUCCUGGAAGAAUGGCGGGGCAUCAGCUUAAGAUAUUAGCCAAUUUGUUUCCACCUCCUUCAAGCCCAUUAUCUAGGAUCUAAAACCUUUAUCUUUCCCUAAGCUGAGAACUUUCUUAAUGGAGAAGUUAAGUGUAUUAUGACAAAAGAAGACUUAGAUGAGAUGCAGUUAUUCAUCAGAGCUGCUGUAGCAGUUGCCUAGGACCUCAACUGCUUCAUGGAAUUCUGGGAAAUGUUCAUGCAUACGGAUAUUGCCUUAGCUGACUUAAAUUGCCCCAUACAAUGGUACAUAAUCAACCCUUAGUGAAGCCUUAAAAAAAAAAAAGUUGAAAAAUGGGUUAAAGGAGCCAAGUACAGCAUAUCUGCCUUUAGAGCUAUCAACUCAGGGAUUUUCUCAAUUAUGAAAUCUU